GAAGCGCGGGUAACCUGGCGGCGAGUGGCGAACGGGUGAGUAAUACAUCGGAACGUACCCUGUGAUGGGGGAUAACUACGCGAAAGCGUAGCUAAUACCGCAUACGACCUACGGGUGAAAGUGGGGGAUCGCAAGACCUCACG
rnacentral:rRNA from 1 species